rnacentral:lncRNA from 1 species
UGCUGUGGCUGACUGAGGAAGGGUCCGCUGGAUCAUCUGAAAAGCAGAGACUCUGCUGAGAGAAGGCGAGCAAAGAGGAGGCCCCGGCAGCGAGAGAGAGACUCUGCCGCUCUGGGAGAUGGAUGUCAUGUAACCAGCACCUUGCGUUGGAGGUCAAGAGAUAUGCCUGCCAACCUCUGCCCUUCAUCAACCAACCACAGUGCCUUAGGAACAUCAUGGGAGCCCCGAGUCUUGAUCUUUGUGUCCACAACACUACAGGUCAGACUGAAUCCUCCAUAUGCCUGGCACCAGACUAGGACUGCUGGGACAUCCAGCCCCAUGAACUGAACAAACAACUGCUGGAUUCCUGGGUAUCAGCUACUGUACACAGAAGAGACACAUUAGUCCUGUACCUCACAAGACACGGUCACAGUCUGACACUGAGGGAAGACGGGGCUGGGACCCAAAGGAAGAAACCAUGGAAGAUGCUGCUGGGUGGCUUGCUCUCUGGAUUCUCAGCUG